rnacentral:rRNA from 1 species
AUUGAACGCUAGCGGCAUGCUUUACACAUGCAAGUCGAACGGAGUGGCGGACGGGUGAGUAAGACAUCGGAACGUGCCUAGUAGUGGGGGAUAACUAUUCGAAAGAGCGGCUAAUACCGCAUACUAUUGGAGCGGCCGAUAUCGGAUUAGCUAGUUGGUGGGGUAAAGGCUCACCAAGGCAACGAUCCGUAGCUGGUCUGAGAGGAAGACCAGCCACACUGGGACUGAGACACGGCCCAGACUCCUACGGGAGGCAGCAGUGGGGAAUUUUGGACAAUGGGGGAAACCCUGAUCCAGCCAUCCCGCGUGUAUGAUGAAGGCCUUCGGGUUGUAAAGUACUUUAAGCAGGGAAGCGGUAUCAGCAGAAUAAGCACCGGCUAACUACGUGCCAGCAGCCGCGGUAAUAC